UACGUAGGGUGCAAGCAUUAAUCGGAAUUAUUGGGCGUAAAGGGCGCGUAGGCGGAUUUGUAAGUCAGAUGUGAAAUUUCGGGGCUCAACCUCGGAGCUGCAUUUGAAACUGUGAAUCUAGAGGGUUGGCGGAGAAAACGGAAUUCCACGUGUAGCGGUGAAAUGCGUAGAUAUGUGGAAGAACACCUGUGGCGAAAGCGGUUUUCUAGCUUACACCUGACGCUGAGGCGCGAGAGCAAGGGGAG
rnacentral:rRNA from 1 species